AUUGAACGCUGGCGGCAGGCCUAACACAUGCAAGUCGGGCGAGUGGCGAACGGGUGAGUAAUGAAUCGGAAUGUACCGAGUAGUGGGGGAUAACUACCGGAAACGAAAGCUAAUACCGCAUACUAUCCGAUCGGCCGAUGUCUGAUUAGCUGGUUGGAGGGGUAACGGAUCACCAAGGCGACGAUCCGUAGCGGGUCUGAGAGGAUGAUCCGCCACACGGGGACGGAGACACGGCCCAGACUCCGACGGGAGGCAGCAGUGGGGAAUUUUGCACAAUGGGCGCAAGCCUGAUGCAGCCAUGCCGCGUGUGUGAAGAAGGCCUUCGGGUUGUAAAGGACUUUCAGCAGGGAGGCGGUACCUGAAGAAGAAGCACCGGCUAACUCCGUGCCAGCAGCCGCGGUAAUUC
rnacentral:rRNA from 1 species